AUAUUUAUUUCCAUAAUAAUGUUUUUGUCUAAUUUAUUUAUCCAAUAAGUUUGUUUUGAUAUUUGAUAAUAUCAAAACAAUACUAAAUACAUUUCAUACAAGUGAUCUAAUUUUUUUUUAAAACAACAGCAAUUUUCUAAAUCAAAAAAAAAAAUGUAAAAUGAAUUAUCAACAACAUUCUCAUAUAAAAUUUAUUUUUAUCAAAAAAAAUUUAUUUUUAUCAAAAUAUAAUAUAUUAUCUAUUAUAAUUGUUUUGAAUGUGAUAACUGUUAUGAAAUAAAUGACUGUUGUUAAUAGUUCUUGUUGCUGUAAAACAUUUGAUUGUUACUAUUGAUGUUGUUGCUGACUAUGUGAUCAUAUUUCUUAAUGUGUGAUAUAUAUAUCCAACUGUUGUUUUUGAUCAUGGUUGCUGCAAUGAACCAUAUUGCUGUUGUUAACUAUGUAGUUGUAAAAUAUGUUGCUAUUGUGAAUUUGGAUUUUGUUAUUGCUCUUAUGGAUAAUUUUAUUGGUGUGAAAUAAAUAAUUGUGAAUGAUAUUGCAAA